GGGUCAGCCUCUUUAUAACCAUUCUCUGUAAACACCCCAGGGGCUGGGAGCCAGGGCACAUCCGGAAAUGUGAGAGGCUGCAAGGAGGAGCUGGAACAGAGGAAUCCAGUCUUGGGGAAAUGAACUGCAUUCAACACAGUGUUACUCCCUGAGGGCAACAUUCAAUUUCAGAACUCUGAUGUGGGCUUCCCGCUCCAUGGUGGAUGCAGGGGGUGGGUUGCAACCCCACUUCCAGCUGCCGUGACACCAUCCAGUGCCAACCAUUUGCUUCUGCUGCUCCAAUCCUUCCACUCCCUCGCAUCCGUGUCCAAGUUACAGUCCCAGAAUCUGAACUACCACCUGUCUUUCUGACCUAGAGGCAUCCACUCGCUCCCAGACCUUCUCCCUCUGACUUCACUCUCCUGUCGCUUCAGUGAAGUUUUGAGGUCCGACCUUAAAAGUUCCCUGUUCGGGUGCCAACUGUUGCUAAGCUGUUCCCAAGCAAGUGAUUUCCUUGAUUAGAGCAGCAGCUGAAGUCAUGAUACACACUAGUAUGGUUAAUCAUCAUGCCCAUUUAUUAUCUGUACAGCUCGGAAUAUAU